AACAAACAAAUUACAUAAACUGAAAAAAAAAAAACAAUAAUCAAACGAAGAGACGUGUAAUAUAUAAUCAAAUCAAAAGGAACAAAUUUGACGAUCAUCGCCGUAAAAGUUAAUCGGAGUGAGUAUUGCUGCGAUCGGAAUCGAAGCAGAGGUAGGAGCCGAGAGAGGAAGCGAGGCGGCGGAGCUGGAGGAGAGGGAUGCAGAAGAUGAAACGGAGGACGGUGGCGCGAGGGAGUCUCUCCGGGUUACAAGCUACGUAUUGCCAUAGAUCCGUCGAUAUAUUCACUGUUGUCUCCACCAACCUACUGUUCAGCACCAUCUCUAUCUCUCAAAAUCUCAAAAGUUGAUCGAGUUCUGUUCUGUUUUUUUGUUUAAUUACCGAACUCACGGUCUGAAAACAGAGGAAAAUAACAAAUAAACUCCUCUAUUUUUGCAAACUUUUCAAAUAAGUCCUUAAAGAAAUUAAAGUUAAUUCUGAAACCCAUUUAUUCACUAUUCUAAAAUAAAAAUUAAUCAGUUUGGGCUAAUCUUUGAAGGUACUACAUAUUGUUCAGUUCCAAAUAUCAGCCAACAAGGAUCAAGAUGAUCUACUUCAAUGGUCUUCAGCUCAACACAGGAAAACUAGUUCCAAAUAUAGCCAAGAAGGUUCAAGAUGAUGUACUUCAAUGGUCUUCAGCUCAAAUAAUUGAUUCUCAGAAUCCUUAUUGCUGGUUUCUCUUGGGUCUUUAAGGAAUGAUCAAAGCUUUGUUCCUAUUCAUAGCAGACAUUCUAGCUAUUCAGUUCAUUCUGACAUGAAGGCUUAUCUUCAAGGCUGCAUUUGGGCAGUUCAAAGCUAAUUAUAGUCUCAGUUUUUUUAUAAUACUAUACUUGAUGUUGAAGAUAGAGAUCUCAUUGCUGCGGUUAACUGGCCUCCUGCUUAACGGUUUAAUGGUAAUGAAAGUAUUAUUUUCAGGGGAAAAAAAAAGAUUCUCCUCCACAGGUACUCUAAAAAGGAUUGAUACUGUUGAAUGACUUGUUUGCUUUUAUUAUAUCAAAAAAUAAACGUUGCAAAGGAAGAAAACUGUAACAUGUCUUUCAUAGUUCAAACUUCUUUGCAUUUGCAUUGUUUCAGGAGAGUGAAGAAACAUAAAGAAAGCAGCCAACACUUAUUAAAAAAAA